rnacentral:rRNA from 1 species
CCCUUAGAUGUCCUGGGCCGCACGCGCGCUACACUGACAUGUUCAACAAGCCUCCUAGUUCGACAGGAUUUGGGAAAUCUUUGAACGCAUGUCGUGAUAGGGAUAGAUCAUUGCAAUUAUUGAUCUUGAACGAGGAAUUCCUAGUAAACGCGAGUCAUCAGCUCGCAUUGAUUACGUCCCUGCCCUUUGUACACACCGCCCAUCGCACCUACCGAUUGAAUGUUUCGGUGAAGAUUCCGGAUAGGACUUUUUUGAUUUAUUUCAAUUUUGUCUUAAAAGCUAUCUAAACCUCAACAUUUAGAGGAAGGUGAAGUCGUAACA